rnacentral:ncRNA from 1 species
CAUAUACAUAAAAUAAUAAAUUAUAAUAUGUUUAAUUAUUAUUAAAAUAUAAAAAUAAUUUUAUUUUAAAGAUACUUAUUCAUAUUAAAUAUAUUAAAAAUAAUUAAUACUUAAAUAGAUUAAUUAAUAGUGCCAGCAAUUGCGGUUACACCUUAUAUUUUUCAUAUCUUUUUAUAUUAAUUUUUUAAAAUUUAAAAUAAAAUAAUUUUAAGUGAAAUUUAAUUAUUUAUUAAAAAAUUUAAUUAAUUAAUUUAAAUUUUAAAAAUAAAAUAGGAUUAGAAACCCUAGUAUAUUAAAAAUAUUUAGGUAGUAAUUUUAAAUAAAACCUAAUUAUACUUAACGGCGGCUAUAAUUUUAUUAGAGGAACUUGUCUAAUAAUCGAUAACCCCCGAUUAUUUUCACUUUAAAUAUAAAUUUAUAUAUCGCCAUCUAAAGAGACUUUAUUAAAAAUCUCUCUAAAUAAAAUAUAAAAAGUUAGGUCAAGGUGUAGUUCAUACUAAAGGCUAUGAUGAGUUACAUUAAACUAUAUUUAAGGAUUUAAGUCUAAAGUUUUAUUAUAAAAAGGAUUUAUAAGUAUUAUUUUAAUAACAUUAUAUUAUGAAUAAUUUAAUUAAAGUGCACAUAUCGCCCGUCACCCUUAUCUUAAGAUAAGGCAAGUCGUAACAUAGUUGAUAUUUUGGAAAAAGUAUCAAG